rnacentral:lncRNA from 1 species
AUGAACACAGCAACUGCAGUUCAGAUACAGCAUUGGAGGCACUCAGCAAAAUACCUGCCAGAAGCAGGAGAAAACACCACCGCAGCACUGGCUAUCAGUUUUCCUAAGCCUCCAGGGAUGCGAGAACCAUGUAUGGUCAUGGUAGCAAAGAAUGAGCCCAUAGCCCCUCUUCCUGACCAAGGUAUGCACACUUCAUGUGGUUACUAUAACACAGGCACACAUGCUGCCCUAAACAAAAGAAGGACAAAUCUAGCCCUAUGUUCUUGCUUCCCUGUGGUGAACACUAUAUGCACACAAACCCAGCUCUUUUGCCACUCUAUCUUUUGGGAUGCAGCUACAUAAAGUUGAAAUUGAGGCUUCUAUCCUAGAGUCUCCAUUAAAUGCUUUCAAGCUAAUACCUGCUUGUGGUGGCAGUUCAUGUCCUAGAUGGAGUUCUAAUGAGCACUCACCAUGCCUGAUCUGAUUGAAGCCCCAUUAUGCCUCCACGAAGGCAGGGCUGCCUCUCAGCCUUGCAGCAGGCAGAUGUCACAAGAUGACACUAAUUUGCUCAAAGUGGGAAACCGGCUCCCCAGGCUUUCAUCGCAUUGUGUAGUGAAAGCAAGUCCAGGAUUCAGAUGGCACUGUCUCAGAAGCAAGGGUUUUUAUAGAAAAAAAAAAUUACAAGGGCUUAGAACUAUCCUGCAUUCAUACCAAACGGCCUCCAAAGGACCUGUUGCCCUGUUCUUGAUAUCACUAGGAGGAAGGACUGCUGUGGCAGCAGAUGGUGACAAGGCUGUUUGAAAAUGGCUGGUGGCACCUGAGACUCCAGUGUUUGUGAUUUGCCCUCUUAUUCCUUCGUAAAGGCAAGCUUGUGCUUCCUUCGGGUAAGAGCAUAUAUUCAAAUUAUUUGUUUAUCUACUAUGUGUGCAUGUGUGUAUGUGAGGGUACAUGUGUGCACUGAGUAGGGGACUGCAUAUGGAAGAGAGAGGACAACCUGCUGGCUCUCAUCUUCCACCAUGUGGGAGCCAGGGCUGGAACUCAGGUCGUCAGGCUAAGCAGCAAGCCCCCUUACCCACUGAGCAGCCCCGUGAGCAUACUUCAUGAUGACUCAGUGUUUAUUGUCUACACUGCAGUCCAAACUUUGAUAGGAUCAGAAGUGCUCUGUUUUCUGGAAAGAACACUUGACUGCGUAUUUGUGACAAACACACCCUUUUCUGUUUGUUGAAGUUGUUAUGAAGUGGACUUGAGUGGAUCAUUUGACCUUGCUGGGAGGCGGUUUACAAGUGCUGUGGGGAAGAGAAGUUUCCGGGAAAGAAAAGAACCUGGGGAAAGAGGCUGGCCAGGAAAGAGGAUGCUGACAACCUAUUGAUGUCUGUGUGGGGUGUGCUGUGUUUAUUCACAGCAUGUACAUGGUACCCUGGGUUGAAAGAGUACGGGGCCGGGGAGAAUAGACUAAGGAAGAGUGUGAAUUUGGAGGAAGACGAUGGCUUUGUAGUUUUCCCUAUACAGUGAAACAAAGUUCCAGGCACUGACUAAGGUCAGGGAGCAGAUGGCUUUAUCAGGGAAGAUCAUAUAGACUCAGAACUCAAGCCUAAAUCUAUUAAGCCACAGCCUUG